rnacentral:lncRNA from 1 species
AAAGGGGAGAAGAGAAAAAGAAGAGAGAAGAAGAAGAGAAAAGAAGAAAGAAAAGAAGAGAAAAGAAGAAAGAAAAGAGAGAAGAAGAAAGAGAGAGAAAAUUCAGUGAGCCUCACAUAUUGUAAACUCUAAAGUUGUAGCCCUAUUAUUUUAUAUAGUGAAAAAGUUACUGCUGCUGCUCUCCGAGGACGUAUGCAUAGCCGAACCUCGUUAAAUGCUGUGUCUCAUCUACUUACGUGCAGCUCAAUAUUCAUACAUAUUCCAGGUUAUUUUUAUAACACGUUAUCAGCACGAGAAGCUCUCAGGUAUAAUUUUUGUGCUGCACUAUUAUCUAUACUACUAACCACUAACAAAAAUGGACCCUUGGUAAUACUAAACAUAUUAUCAGUGGGAGACCGUUACUAAUACUAACUUUUUCUUAUUUUAUUCGGUGGUGAUUUUAACCCCACAUUUAUUUACUGUAUGGUGUAGGUUUAUUACCCAUACAUGCACCUUUACUUUAUCACAAAUUUAUUUUACCGCAUAUUUAUUUUAUUUACUGUAUGGUGUAGGUUUAUUACCCAUACAACAGUAUUUAUUUAAAAGGGUGGUGCGGGUUUAUCGUCCACGCCUUUGCUUUUAUUUAAAUGUAUGGAGCAGAAUUAAUGCCCAUACAAGCACCUUAACUUUAUGAAUUUAAUUUACCGCACAUUUACAUUUAUUUAAAGUGUGGUGCGGGUUUAUCGUCCAUACCAGUAAUUUAUUUAUCAGCAAUUUAUUUUAUGGAUUAAUUGUGCUGUAUGAUGAGUUUUUCCAGUAUGCAGAUCAGGACCAGAAGUUCCUUGAUCCUCAUCAUACAAUUACAUCAGGACUUGAAGAUCCUUGAUGAUGAUAUUAAAAUGAGAGCUGGCAGUCUCACCGGUACUGUAUUUGUAAACAUGUGAUUGGACUUAAAGGUCCUUGAUCCCUGACAUGUAAAUAAGGACCUAGAGUUCCUUAAUGAUGUAACAGUACCGUAUUGGUUCAUAGUGCCGUACAUAUUGAUGAUAACUGUACUGGCAGAUGAAUAGAUACGUAUUCAUGACUUGAUGAAUAGUACUAUUCACAUGAAUAGUGACGUAUGCAUAAAUAUUAACCAUUUUGGGUAAACCGUCACUAUAUACAAAAGGGAACCUGCAGUUCCUUAAACUCAUGGAUGAGCAAUUAAAUGAGAUGCCAGAAGUUCCUCAAAAUAUGGACAAUUAUGUAAGGGCUUGAAGUCCCGAAAUAUGUACAGAAAAUUGUAAAAAUGUCCAUACCAUGAGAAUAUGUGGCUUUGGCCUGAAGUUCCAAAUUUAACAGUGUUGAGAACCUGAAGUUCCAACAAUUAAAUGGACAACCCUUGAGGUAUUAUUGCAAAUUGUGGUAUGCCACAUAUUUCUUUGGCAUAAGAAGAUGAUGAAUUUAAUAAAGUUCGAUUUUGUUAUAAUCGACACCUCAAGGAAGAAAUAUAUUUUGUGAAUUCCGGUUGUUAAGAAUACACCGCGAAAUGGAUAAUAUUAAUAUAAACCUCAAAUAAUGAAUUGAGACUCCCCACAUAUUUUGUUAUAUCUGGGCCGGAAGCCCAUGGAUCCAAAUAUAUGAGAGAUCCUAAACUUGAAGUUGUGGGUAUAUAGUAGUUAAUGCUGUUCACUACUAUAUUGCGAUAUUAUCAUGGCUUUUACUCAAUUCAUAUUUCAUGUCCAUUUGAAAAGGGCAAAUAAAUUCUGAGUUUGUGCCCAGGCCAUAAGUUCCGGGCUACCAUACGUUGAAAUAUGAAAUUUGGGAGAGUCGAUGUGGUUAUUUGAACCUAUAAGGCACAAGGUUCCAAAUCGUCAUUUUGAAAAGACGUAAAAACCACAGGUGCAAGUUUAAGAAUAUGCGCAAUUAUUAUAACAGGAACAUAUAACAGAUAGAUUUUUCCACCUGCAAUGAAGGUGCAGGCCCUGUGAAAUCUAUAAAAAAUUACAUUAUGUUCUGGAAGCCUCUGCAGGAAGAUGACGGCGCCUCUUAAGCUUAGCCAUGAGCUUCUCGUGGUCUCCCAAAAUUCUUUCAUUGGAGACCUGCAGCAUGUCUAGCCUUCUCAGUGUAUCAACAGAGUACGAACUCACCAGUUUCAACAAGGCAUUAUUCUCUCCUUUAAGUUUCUCAACCUCCUGUUGAGACUCAUGAAGCAUUCUUUGGAGAGACGAAUUUUCAGUUGUUAAAUUCUCAACUUCGUUUGCUCUGGCACGCAAACGAUCAGCCAUGUUAGAAACAGAAGCAGCACUCUGAAUGCUAAAAGCCAUUGAGUCAUCAAUAGCCUCUUCCUCUGAUCUCCCUGUCAACAACAUUUCAUCCAUUGGAGUAAUGAAAUUCCUAGCUACUAUGACAGCAGUAGCAUCAUUCAUCAUCACAGAAUCAUUAACUGUGAGAUGACGAUUUUUGGAUACAAAGGAUGGACGCCAAACUUGGGCAUCACUGGUUGUUGUGGGAGCAUCAUUUAAAUUGAAAUAAUUUGGGCAGGAAGAAGAGGAAGCCAUUUUUUUAAGAAGGUUUCGAAGAAAGUCUUAGAAAAACUAAAGGUUCGGAAAAUGAAGGAAAUUGAGUUGAAACGCAGUUUGCAAAGGCAAUAUCUAUAGACGAAAAUGUGGCAACUUUUCAGGACCCCAAUGUCUUCUCGAAUCCCCAUAUUAUCUUUUUCUUUCCCAGAGUCCAAAACUUCACGUGGCCUCUAAUAAUGCCUGUCGGCACUUUCGGCGUUUUUCAAAGUAUUAUUUUCAAAGCCGAUCUUGCUUUACGGAUUUCACGGAACUACUUUUUCAAAAGUAUCCCGAGAAUCUCGCAAUUUUCCUAUGGUUAAUUUGAAAUUCACCGGUUCUACCUAUUCAUUGUAUUUGUGUAUAAAUGUGUUACUAACGAAAUUUUCUUUGCAAACGACAUCCAGUUUUCUCCAUACCUAGUGAUGCGAUAUCUACUUGUUUUUCUUAUCAGUGAACACUUAAUAUGCCUGAGAAGCAAGACUAUCUCUGAUCAUCCAUUCAGGAAGCAAGACUAUCCCUGAUCACGUUUCCACUACAUCAGGAAACUGUGAAGGCGAUCUUAUGCUCUAAUCUCCGGAAGUCCUUCUAGACUAGGAGAUAUGAGAGCUUAUUGUCUGCUCCCACCAGCUUCCUUCCCUGAUUGCUUACCUUCUCUUGCAAUCAAUAUCACAUUAUUUUUGCAUUUUUUCUCUUUUUAUAACUCUCUGUUCAUAAGAGAUUUUAUUUCUUUAGAAUGAACAUCUGAAGAAUGAAUCCAUGAAGUAAUCCUAACUAUGAGGGUUAUUUGUUUUGACAGAGGCAAAAGAGUUGUGAUUUUUGCUCUUGCAGGAUAUAACUAGAUCAUCAAGCGCUACAUUAUAUUUACUGGGCUGAUAUGAGCUUGAAUGAUACUUGAGAAAAGUUUCUCCCACCUAAGGAUGUAAGCAAUACUUGUGUUAUUUUAUGCUUAUAUACCUAUUUGAUAUUUUAUCUUGAAAGGUAACCAAAUUGGGAGAUAAGUCCGUUCCAAAAGAAUGGCUUGUAUGUAUCCAUGAAUUAUUAAUGCAAAUUUUACAGAUUGUAAGAUGGAUACAUUGAUAAUACACUGUACAGAUUAAAGUCCCAUAAGAACAGAAUAUGGGUAUAGCAGUGAUCAAUAUGGGUGCACGCCUGUUGCGUAGCAAAUGAUAUGGAUUGAAGUCCCGAAAGGACAAUCCUUUGACAUGUCAAUAUUGAUAUUAUGCACGCCUAAUGCGUAGCAAAUUAUAUGGGUUAAAGUCCCAUAAUAUGGGUUAAAGUCCCAGAAAUUAAUUGACAUGUAUGUAUUAAUCUGUGGCAUGCCUGCAGCAUGACAGAUAUAUGGGUUCUCAAUGUUCCAACUCCCUAAAUGGAGAUUAUCCACGCCCUACUACUAAAUAACGCUCCGAUGGAGUACUAAAUAACGCUCCGAUGGAGGUUAUAAUCCACAUUCUCACAUAAUAAAAGCCCCCUGAAGUGGCUUGGGUACCCAAAAGCAUGCACAUGAGAAUUGUGAGAUCAUGAAUUGAUGAAUGACAAUUUUUAAUUUUGGAGUAGCUACUCAAAUCAUCAAUGGGCUGUGUUGAUUGGAACCACGUUCAAUUAUUAAAUGUCGACAAUAUCACUGGCCAAAAUAGAACGAGAUAAUUCCAUUAUAAAUAGAACGAGAUAAUUCCAUUAUAAAUGAGAAUGAACGUGAAAGAACAAACCCACAAUACGAACCCCAAAAUUUGUUAAUACUGAAAGUUAUACUUAGGUGUUCGGAAUAAAAGGGAAUAUACCUACUUUGUAUGACACACUGUUUCUGACAGAAACAAGGAAUGUUGGGUUUUCUCCAUAUUUACAGAUUCAAUUGUGCCCCCCCUUAUUACACAAUUACGGAGACCAACAUAUUAUCUUUAAGGGUUAUUAAAUGCACGGAGCAUAUCGCCAGAAGCGAUUUCCUAAAGAUGUAUAAAUAGCUGGAUAAAAGCUAUAUAAUGUGUCAUAAAGCUUAAUCCCUUUUAGACAAAAUCCGUUGAGAGGAUUGAUAUUGCAUAAAGCAAGUCCCUAAAGGACAUGUGCUUGAAGCACAAAAUUUGUACUCAAUAUUAAUAUGCAUAAAUUACCUCAGUGAGUACAUUGAUUAUAAUGUGAUUGCAACACAUUAAAGCUUCUGCAGAAUUCAUGAAAUAUUUGUCUCGAUCGAGCAUUAUGCCAACGAGAUUCUUGCUUAUACUAAGAAAGUAUUAAAGUAUUUUUAUGAGGAUUAUCCGUUGGACACUUUAAUGAUUUUCCGGAAGUAUAUUGGACCGAACAUCAUAUUUUCCAGAUAGGGCUCAACUCCAUCACCAUCAUUUUGGGAUGAUGUGAGGUAUAUUUGAUGCUAUCUAAGCAUAACACCAUAUACGGGCAUAUUUUUUUAGUGAACUUAUAAAUAGCCCAAGUGUUCUAAGAUAUGCGGACUCAGGAAAUCUCUAUGGUCGCUUACUGGAAAAAGCUAGUCAUGAAGUUUUCAGGGGGAGAUAUUCAUCAGGGGGAGCAUGGUAUUAAUAAAGACCUUCAUACACUAUUGACUCACAGCAGCAGUGUCAACUAUGAUAUUCAGACAGAUGAUCAACAGUAUGGCUUAAAGAUAUUUUGCCAAGCAUCAGGGGGAGCGUGCUGUCAAUACAGACCCUUACACACUGUACUCUUUUUCCUUCGUCCAGGUUUUUAUCCCACUGGGUUUUUCCUGGCAAGGUUUUAACGAGGCAGUGUCGCACGCGCGUCAAUAUACACAGAAUUUUAUGUUACACGUGAUUAUGUACUCUUUUUCCCUUCGACCAGUUUUUGUCCCACCGGGGUUUUACUGGCAAUGUUUUUAACGAGGCAUAUUCCAUAUCAUUUGUGGUCUCUAAGGGGGAGUGUUGUAAAAGUUUGAAGGUGGAGCCCACAGAGGAAGUUUCCUUGCAUCUUCCAGGAACUUUCCCUUCCCUGUAUUUAUCAAUUCAGGAAGUUUCCUUGCAUCUUCCAGGAACUUUCCUUCCCUGUAUUUAUCAAUUCAGGAAGUUUCCUUGCAUCUUCCAGAAACCUUCCCUUCCCUGUAUUUUGCCUAAACAUUAGCCUAUAAAUAGGCAUACCAAUUGUAAAGGGGAGUGUGACCAACGGAGAAAAGAAAGAAAGGGGAGAAGAGAAAAAGAAGAGAGAAGAAGAAGAGAAAAGAAGAAAGAAAAGAAGAGAAAAGAAGAAAGAAAAGAUAGAAGAAGAAAGAGAGAGAAAAUUCAGUGAGCCUCACAUAUUGUAAACUCUAAAGUUGUAGCCCUAUUAUUUUAUAUAGUAAAAAAGUUACUGCUGCUGCUCUCCGAGGACGUAUGCAUAGCCGAACCUCGUUAAAUGCUGUGUCUCAUCUACUUUACGUGCAGCUCAAUAUUCAUACAUAUUCCAGGUUAUUUUUAUAACAAAAACAUAAUUAAAACAAACAAACAAAAACCAAAGCCUUUCUCAACCAGUCAUCCUCUCUGUCCCCUAUCUACCUUCUCUGACCCACCCCACUGAUCCGCUGCCGACUCAGCCCAACAGACCCUUCUUGACCUUGAUGGUGCCCUAACCUCGACCCACCAAGACCAGGGGAUUGAGCUUCCCCCAAAAAUUACCAAAUCAAAAUUUUCUGAAAACGAAUGAGAUGAGAUCGCCCAAUGGAUUGGCAGCCCCACGACUACGCUGUCGCCUCUGCCAUGGCCUACGCCCAAUAGUAGUGCCAAGCAGUGACCAAUAUCCAACAAGGAUGAAGGAGGGGGAAAAAACCGACCAACAUCCAACAUCGAUCAUUGCUAGUUUUCUAGGUUGAGCAGAGAAGAUCUUGACGUGAGGCGCGAUUGUUUGGAGGCGGUGACUGGAGGCUGACAAGACAGAGGGUGAAUGGUGGGUUAGGGAAGGGAGAAAGGGAUAGUGGGGUCAAAGUUGAAUGAUCAAUUUGACAGAAG